CCCCACUAUGUCCAGCCGUAAACUUUAACUUACACACUCAUCGCCCGGGAACUACGAGCAAAGCUUAAAACCCAAAGGACUUGACGGUACCCCACAUCCACCUAGAGGAGCCUGUCCUAUAAUCGAUAAUCCCCGUUCAACCUCACCAUUUUUAGUUAACCAGCCUGUAUACCUCCGUCGUCAGCUUACCACGUGAGCGAACCAUAGUGAGCUUAAUGACACUUAGCCAACACGUCAGGUCAAGGUGCAGCAAAUAAAAUGGAAAGCGAUGGGCUACACUUUCUAAAAUAGAAAACACAAAAAACUACUUAUGAAACCUAGUCGGAAGGCGGAUUUAGCAGUAAAAAGAAAACAGAGUGUUCUUUUUAACCCGGCACUGGGGUGCGUACACACCGCCCG
rnacentral:rRNA from 1 species